rnacentral:rRNA from 1 species
GACGAACGCUGGCGGCGUGCCUAAUACAUGCAAGUCGAACGCAGAGGGGACGGGUGAGUAACACGUGGGUAACCUCCCAUCAGAGGGGAUAACACUUGGAAACAGGUGCUAAACCGAUACUGAUGGAUGGACCCGCGGGGCAUUAGCUAGUGGGUGAGGUAACGGCUCACCAAGGCCACGAUGCAUAGCAGCACUGGUAGGGUGAUCGGCCACCCAGUGACUGAGACACGGCCCAGACUCUGACGGGAGGCAGCAGUAGAGAAUCUUCGACAAUGGACGAAAGUCUGACCGAGCGACGCCGCGUGAGUGAGGAAGGUUUUCGGAUCGUAAUACUCUGUUAUUAGAGAGGCGGUAUCUAACCAGAAAGCCACGGCUAACUACGUGCCAGCAGCCGCGGUAAUUC